UAGAGGAAGUAAAAGUCGUAACAAGGUUUCCGUAGGUGAACCUGCGGAAGGAUCAUUAGUGAUUGCCAUCUUGGCUUAAACUAUAUCCAUCUACACCUGUGAACCGUUUGAUUGAAUCUUCUGAUUCAAUUUUACAAACAUUGUGUAAUGAACGUCAUUAGAUCAUAACAAAAAAAACUUUUAACAACGGAUCUCUUGGCUCUCGCAUCGAUGAAGAACGCAGCGAAAUGCGAUAAGUAAUGUGAAUUGCAGAAUUCAGUGAAUCAUCGAAUCUUUGAACGCAACUUGCGCUCUCUGGUAUUCCGGAGAGCAUGCCUGUUUGAGUGUCAUGAAAUCUCAACCAUUAGGGUUUCUUAAUGGCUUGGAUUUGGAGGUUGCCAUUCUAAAUGGCUCCUCUUAAAGGAGUUAGCAAGUUUUACUAUUGCUAUCUGGCGUAAUAAGUUUCGCUGGAAUGGUAUUGUGAAGCGUGCUUCUAAUCGUCUUCGGACAAUUACUUUGACUCUGGCCUCAAAUCAGGUAGGACUACCCGCUGAACUUAAGCAUAUCAAUAG
rnacentral:rRNA from 1 species